rnacentral:lncRNA from 1 species
AAUUCAAGGACCAAUUACCUGCUGAUAAGUGCAAAAGCUAAAAGAAGAGAUUUCCAAAAUGAAGGGGCUUCUGGAUAGAAAAGACAGCGAAACGGGAGAAAACAUUGGACAAACAGCAUCCUCUCUUCAGCAGGCAUCACUGAAGCUCUUCGAAAUGGCAUACAAAAAGAUGGCAUCUGAGCAAGAAGGCUCUGGAAAUUCUGGCACUGGGGAACAAAAGGAAGAUCAAAAGGAGGAGAAACAG